rnacentral:rRNA from 1 species
UACGUAGGGUGCGAGCGUUGUCCGGAAUUAUUGGGCGUAAAGAGCUUGUAGGCGGUUUGUCGCGUCUGCUGUGAAAUCUCAAGGCUCAACCUUGAGCUUGCAGUGGGUACGGGCAGACUAGAGUGUGGUAGGGGAGACUGGAAUUCCUGGUGUAGCGGUGAAAUGCGCAGAUAUCAGGAAGAACACCCGUGGCGAAGGCGGCUCUCUGGGACGGUACUGACGCUGAGACGCGAAAGCGUGGGGAGCGAACAGG